rnacentral:tRNA from 1 species
AGUGGGGUGGUCGAGCUGUAGGCGAUGGGCUGUAAACCUAUUUACGAGAUUUACUUCUCCCCCACGAC